GUAAAGACUCUUACAUAUGGGAAAAAUGGAAGAGAGGGAAAGAGGUAAAUCUGUGAAAGAUUAAAAUAGUGUAGAGUGGGAGAACCAGCCUGGGAGGCUGGAGACCUGAAUUCAAGUCCCAUCGCUACCACUAGCUAUGUGACUUCUUGCCAGUCACUUACCCUUUGUGAUCCUUAGCUCCCUCAUCCAUAAAAUAUAGGUAUAGGAUUAAAGAAAUUGAUUUAUUGACCAGAUCUUUAUUGAAGACACACAGUGUGCAAGGCACUGUUCUAACUGGAAAUACAUUGGUGAACAAAGCCCUUGCUCCUCCAUUACACUCAGAAGCUUACAUUCUAGAAUAGGGAAACAGACAUUGAAACAAGUAAAAUUCAUGGACAGGACAAGCAGAUAGUGUUAAGUGCUAUGAAGAAAACAGAGGCCGGGCGCAGUGGCUCACACCUGUAAUCCCAGCAUUUUGGGAGGCCAAGGUGGGUGGAUCCUUUGAGCCUAGGAGUUCCAGACUAGCCUUGGCAAUAUAGUGAGACCUCAUCUUUAAAAAAAAAAAAAAAAAAAAAAAAAAACAGAACAGACUGAUGGGAUAGUACAGGGAAAGCCUCUCUAAGGAGGUGACUUCUCUCCGGAGACCCAAACAUAAUGGGCUAGCCAAAGGGUGGUCUGGAAGUAGAGUGCUUCAAGCAGGGAAAAUAGCAAGAGCAGAGCCAGGCAAGUUCAAAGAACAGAAAUGAUGUAACCCUCUUAAAUCCUAAGCUUCUAGAAUAGUAAUGCAUUGCUUGCAUUGUUCUGGUUAGGGAUUUGUAUGUGAUAUUGUUUCUUGGUGAUGUGGGAUAUGUGCUUCUUAAUGGAAAUGGCUGGGAAGUGUGGAGUCUUUCUGGAGCCUGGGAUAUGGCUCUUUCUCACUUGCUUUCCACAGUUCUGGUAGCUCAGCUGGCUCCCUGGGUAGAUGCAGGCUCCAUCUUAGCUGCAGACUCUACAAGAACACUGAGAGGCUGCCUCCGUCACUACUCAAAGCCUUGGAGUCCCAGAAUCCCCUCCUAUCCCACCUAGCCUUCUUCCAAUCUGAAACCAGGGAGUCAGGGCUUUGAGAGCACAAGAUUCAGCUUCCUUGUUUUCCUGUCAGAGCAGAAGUCAGAAAAUGAAACAGGAAACAGAGCGGAAGAGGAGGGGGUUGGGUAGCAGAGAAGGAAAAGAGAAAUUGCAGGAAAGUACAGCUGAAAAUCUGGAUAAAGUUCUACCUCUACAGGGUGACAGCUGAGCUUUUAAAAAACAUUCUGACUUGUCUUGAGAGACCCCUGGCC
rnacentral:lncRNA from 1 species